AGGAGGCGACCUCUAUGUUGACCAGCCUGGAGACGGGCCCCACAGGUGCCCAGAAGGGGCUCAUCCCCUUCCUUGGCACAUUCCUCAAUUACCUACUGCUGCUGGACACCAACAUGGAGGAUUACCUGGAGUCACCAGACCCCUGACGCAGAACCCAGCAACAGUGGCAGAUCCCGGUCCUUCCAACAGCUCGAGUGCAGCCUGCUCUUCAGCGGCGGGGACGCGGCUGGGAAACACGCGGGCCCCAGGCCGGCUCCUCCCAUGCUGAUGGGGAGAAGAACAUUCUAAGCCUUUUCCUGGGAGCCCUGGAGCCCAAGAGGGAGGGGACGACCCCACCCCACAGGCCUGGCAGCUCCACCCCAGCGCCUGUUUACCACUUGGGAAGGGGCCGUAUUUCUUUCGUGUUAUAGUUAGUGCUAGUUUUGAAUUUGAUGUUAAAAUCCUGUUUCUGUUCCAGCCUGCGAGUCACGGUCUGGUUCUUUCCCCUCCUGUGCUCGUGUCAAGGAGACACAGACUCUCGCGUUCCUCCUGGAAUGAAGAAAUCUUGCAGGGUCUCGGCUUAUUGUAUGUGAGAGAAGGGAGAAGGGCCAGGCCCCUCCCUGGAUACUGAGGGACACCUCCGCGCCCCCCUUACUCAGAGGACGGCUUCAUUUCAGUGUGGUUCACGUGGGCCAGGAGCAGAGACAGCACCCAGAGCUCCUGGCAUUUAGAGGGUGGAGGUACUUUCACAGGCAGAGCAACAACCACUGGAAUGCGGGUGUCUUUAAAAUGGCACGGGCCAGCACCACGACCUGCCCCAGGACAGUGGCUGCUUUUCCACCCCUUUGGAGGAGAGGCCACGUUUUCGGCUUCUCUUGUGGAGGUUCCUCUUCACCAGAUGUUAGGAACUUGUCGUUUUCUAAUGAGGCUCUGGACAGCAGCAGCUCUAAGUGCAGAGAACGAUGUAAAAGCUCAAAACGUGCAUGUGGAGGGUCAAGGCCGGAGAAGGUCAUGUGCAGAUGGACUAAGGGCAGGCAGGACCCUCCCUCCCCCGGCCCCUCUGGGGGCUCCAUGUUCACCCUUCACCUGGAUUGGAAUCCUCUGGGAUCCUGGUCCACGGCUCUGAAUUCCUUUCCCUGCAAGUUUGGUAUCCAGGGGGACAGAUCUGUGAUGCAGCUUUGAAGGCUACAUCUGGGCAUCCUUCCCGACGCAUCACUGCUCCUUGUCCACCAGGAUUUCCUGCCUCCGUGCACUUCCUUCUGCAAUUCUUGGAAGGGCAGAAAUUCCCUCGAAUGCCUCGGCCUCUCUGUCCCGUACCUCGUGGCCACUCCUCCCUGGCAGGGUCUGACGGAUCACGGGUGGAGUCUGCUUUGCAAACAUUAGAUACCCUAAUCCUGGCCAAAGAAUGACCUAUACUCUCCCUCGCUGCCCAGGGUGACAUCUGGGCCCCUGUGGUUCUGAGGUGUGUGGUCUCAGGCAAUCACCUGUUCACACACUCAGGCAUGUUGUUUCUGACUCAUCCUAACGGGGCAGGAGGACCUGAGCCUAUAAACCAUGCAGCCCCUCGGAGGGCUGUGUUCUCUUGCCCAGCCUUAUGCUCCGUUUAUGGUGUGGGUGUGAACCUUUCCCGUUGGAAGCUUUCAGAGAUGAGUCGUGAGAGGAGGGUGGUUGAGGGGUCCAGCAGGGAACGCAAGCAAACGGAUGACGGGUAAACACAGCCUGACAAAAUUAAAACACUUAAAUGGUUCCAGUCUGGUGGUGAGCAGACACUGCUCCGAGCUCACUCCAAGAACCCACCCGGUGACCAGGAGCUAGAGGGUUACCACCUGGCAUUUUGAACGCCCCCCCCCACCCCACCCCGGGAAAGACCCUGUAAGACUAGGACCACAGGAAGUGCUUGGCCCUUCUGAGUUCUCCCCUCCUUUCUGAUGGCUGCAAGUGUCACCCAGACACACAGCAGCGUGAACCCUGCCAGGGAGGCCUCCUCAGUACGGCCAGCAGCUGAGGAGAAAUGCUGGUUCCCAGCAGCCCAGGCCCUUCUUGGUAUGGCACAGCCAUCCAGGAAGGUGACUUUCUAAAUGGAAGCCGGAGCCGGCUGUACCUUCCCGCCACAGAGAAAGAGAAGUGCCAAGUCCCAAGGCUAGUCCAGGCCCAGGAGGAAGACCCCGU
ensembl:lncRNA